GGGACGGUGGACUGAGUGGUAAGGCGGGGGACUGCAAAUCCUCCUGGCGAAAGCCUGGCGUGAGUUCGAUUCUCACCCGUCCCUCCA
rnacentral:tRNA from 2 species